rnacentral:rRNA from 1 species
CGCUGGCGGCGUGCCUAACACAUGCAAGUCGAACGGAGAUUAGACGCUGACGAGACUUCGGUCAAAUCUUGUUUAAUCUUAGUGGCGGACGGGUGAGUAACGCGUGGGCAACCUGCCUCAUACUGGGGGAUAGCAGUUGGAAACGACUGAUAAUACCGCAUAAGCGCACAGCAUCGCAUGAUGCAGUGUGAAAAACUCCGGUGGUAUGAGAUGGGCCCGCGUCAGAUUAGCUAGUUGGUAAGGUAACGGCUUACCAAGGCGACGAUCUGUAGCCGGACUGAGAGGUCGGACGGCCACAUUGGGACUGAGACACGGCCCAAACUCCUACGGGAGGCAGCAGUGGGGGAUAUUGCACAAUGGAGGAAACUCUGAUGCAGCGACGCCGCGUGAGUGAAGAAGUAUUUCGGUAUGUAAAGCUCUAUCAGCAGGGAAGAAAGGCUCUAAGGAGAGAUGACGGUACCUGACUAAGAAGCCCCGGCUAACUACGUGCCAGCAGCUGC